GCAGUGGGAGGAAAGGCAUCUUUAGGUCACAUCUGACUGGGAUCAGGUAUGACAGGAGUGCUGCCUCACUGUGAGGUAUAGCAGUGGGAGGAAAGGCAUCUUUAGGUCACAUCUGACUGAGAUCAGGUAUGACAGGAGUGCUGCCUCACUGUGAGGUAUAGCAGUGGGAGGAAAGGCAUCUUUAGGUCACAUCUGACUGAGAUCAGGUAUGACAGGAGUGCUGCCUCACUGUGAGGUAUAGCAGUGGGAGGAAAGGCAUCUUUAGGUCACAUCUGACUGAGAUCAGGUAAGACAGGAGUGCUGCCUCACUGUGAGGUAUAGCAGUGGGAGGAAAGGCAUCUUUAGGUCACAUCUGACUGAGAUCAGGUAUGACAGGAGUGCUGCCUCACUGUGAGGUAUAGCAGUGGGAGGAAAGGCAUCUUUAGGUCACAUCUGACUGAGAUCAGGUAUGACAGGAGUGCUGCCUCACUGUGAGGUAUAGCAGUGGGAGGAAAGGCAUCUUUAGGUCACAUCUGACUGAGAUCAGGUAUGACAGGAGUGCUGCCUCACUGUGAGGUAUAGCAGUGGGAGGAAAGGCAUCUUUAGGUCACAUCUGACUGAGAUCAGGUAAGACAGGAGUGCUGCCUCACUGUGAGGUAUAGCAGUGGGAGGAAAGGCAUCUUUAGGUCACAUCUGACUGAGAUCAGGUAUGACAGGAGUGCUGCCUCACUGUGAGGUAUAGCAGUGGGAGGAAAGGCAUCUUUAGGUCACAUCUGACUGAGAUCAGGUAUGACAGGAGUGCUGCCUCACUGUGAGGUAUAGCAGUGGGAGGAAAGGCAUCUUUAGGUCACAUCUGACUGAGAUCAGGUAUGACAGGAGUGCUGCCUCACUGUGAGGUAUAGCAGUGGGAGGAAAGGCAUCUUUAGGUCACAUCUGACUGAGAUCAGGUAUGACAGGAGUGCUGCCUCACUGUGAGGUAUA